rnacentral:rRNA from 1 species
AUUGAACGCUGGCGGCAGGCCUAACACAUGCAAGUCGAACGGUAGCACAGAGAGCUUGCUCUCGGGUGACGAGUGGCGGACGGGUGAGUAACGUCUGGGAAACUGCCCGAUGGAGGGGGAUAACUACUGGAAACGGUAGCUAAUACCGCAUAACGUCGCAAGACCAAAGUGGGGGACCUUCGGUCCUCACACCAUCGGAUGUGCCCAGAUGGGAUUAGCUAGUAGGUGGGGGAAUGGCUCACCGAGGCGACGAUCCCUAGCUGGUCUGAGGGGAUGACCAGCCACACUGGAACUGAGACACGGUCCAGACUCCUACGGGAGGCAGCAGUGGGGAAUAUUGCACAAUGGGCGCAAGCCUGAUGCAGCCAUGCCGCGUGUAUGAAGAAGGCCUUCGGGUUGUAAAGUACUUUCAGCGGGGAGGAAGGCGGUGGAGUUAAUAACUUCACCGAUUGACGUUACCCGCAGAAGAAGCACCGGCUAACUCCGUGCCAGCCGCCGCGGUAA